rnacentral:rRNA from 1 species
UACGUAGGGGGCAAGCGUUGUCCGGAAUUAUUGGGCGUAAAGAGCGCGUAGGCGGUCCGGUAAGUCGGCUGUGAAAGUCAAGGGCUCAACCCUUGAAAGCCGGCCGAUACUGUCGGACUAGAGUCCGGAAGAGGCGAGUGGAAUUCCUGGUGUAGCGGUGGAAUGCGCAGAUAUCAGGAGGAACACCGGUGGCGAAGGCGGCAUUCUGGACCGAUAUUGACGUGAGGAGCGAAAGCCAGGGGAGCAAACGGG